rnacentral:rRNA from 1 species
GACGAACGCUGGCGGCGUGCCUAAUACAUGCAAGUUGAGCGCUGAAGGUUGGUACUUGUACCGACUGGAUGAGCAGCGAACGGGUGAGUAACGCGUGGGGAAUCUGCCUUUGAGCGGGGGACAACAUUUGGAAACGAAUGCUAAUACCGCAUAAAAACUUUAAACACAAGUUUUAAGUUUGAAAGAUGCAAUUGCAUCACUCAAAGAUGAUCCCGCGUUGUAUUAGCUAGUUGGUGAGGUAAAGGCUCACCAAGGCGAUGAUACAUAGCCGACCUGAGAGGGUGAUCGGCAACAUUGGGACUGAGACACGGCCCAAACUACUACGGGAGGCAGCAGUAGGGAAUCUUCGGCAAUGGACGAAAGUCUGACCGAGCAACGCCGCGUGAGUGAAGAAGGGUUUCGGAUCGUAAAACUCGGUUGGUAGAGAAGAACGUUGGUGAGAGUGGAAAGCUCAUCAAGUGACGGUAACUACCCAGAAAGGGACGGCUAACUACGUG